rnacentral:rRNA from 1 species
GUGGGGAAUAUUGGACAAUGGGCGAAAGCCUGACGGAGCAACGCCGCGUGAGUGAAGACGGCCUUCGGGUUGUAAAGCUCUGUUAUAUGGGACGAACGUAUUUAUGGCCAAUACCCAUAGAUAGUGACGGUACCGUAAGAGAAAGCCACGGCUAACUACGUGCCAGCAGCCGCGGUAAUACGUAGGUGGCAAGCGUUGUCCGGAAUUAUUGGGCGUAAAGGGCGCGCAGGCGGCCUGUCAAGUCUGUCUUAAAAGUGCGGGGCUCAACCCCGUGAUGGGACGGAAACUGGCAGGCUGGAGUGUCGGAGAGGAAAGCAGAAUUCCUAGUGUAGCGGUGAAAUGCGUAGAUAUUAGGAGGAAUACCAGUGGCGAAAGCGGCUUUCUGGACGACAACUGACGCUGAGGCGCGAAAGCCAGGGGAGCAAACGGGAUUAGAUACCCGAGUAGUCC